GGGGACGAGGCUGCGGCGCUCUGGGCCAAUCGCGUGCGAGGAGGUUUCCCUAUGCCCCGCCCCCGCGCUCCCAGUCCAUCCCAGUUCACCCAGUCUGAUCUCUCAGAGCUCAAUAAAUAAAAUUUUAUUGAUGGGGAAGGGGCGGGGCCACCUCGGCUCCUCCCACUUCCCCAGGCCUCAGUCCGGGAGGAAUUCACAGUAUUUUGGUUAAAAAAAACCCCAAAGUGCCCCAGGGGUUACUUGGGGCACCUGGACAGCCCUGAACGAGCACGGACAGCUGGCACAGGUGUGCACAGCCAUGGCCAGGUGUGCACUGGUGUGCACAGGUGUGUCUGCAGCCAUGGCCAGGUGUAUCAGGCUGUGUCCAGGUGUGUCCAGCUGUGUCUGCAGCCAUAGCCAGGUGUGCACAGCCUUGUCCAGGUGUCUCCAGGUGUGCCCAGCUGUGUCCAGGUGUGUCUGCAGCCAUGGCCAGCUGUGUCCAGGUGUGUCCAGUUGUGUCUGCAGCCAUGACCAAGUGUGUCAGGCUGUGCCCAGGUGUGUCUGCAGCCAUAGCCGGGUGUGCACAGCCCCAUCAAGAUGUGCCCAGAUGUGCCCAGGUGUGUCUGCAGCCAUGUCCAGGUGUGCACAGCUAUUCCCAGCUGUGUCCAGCUGUGUCUGCAGCCAUGCCCAGGUGUGCACAGCUAUUCCCAGCUAUUCCCAGCUGUUCCCAGCUGUGUCCAGCUGUCCACCCAGCUGUGCCCAGGUGUGCACAGCUGUGUCUGCAGCCAUGUCCAGGUGUAUCCAGCUGCUCCCAGCUGUGCCCAGGUGUGUCCAGGUGCACACAGCUGCUCCCAGCUGUGCCUGCCCCCAGCCCUGCUCUCAGUCCUGCGGCUCCUGGGGGCCGCUCCCCCACCCCGGGGGGCUCUGGGGGGGUCUCGGCUCCCCCAAAUCCUCAGGGCUCGUCGUCCUCUGACGUCAGCGGCCGCUGGGGGAGGAAGCGGCGGGUCAGUGGGGGGGUCCCUGAACCCCCUCCUGCCCCAGAGCCCCAUCCCGGCUGUCCCCGGGCCCCCCACGCCCCCCCCUCACUCACCAGGGGGUCCCCGAGC
rnacentral:lncRNA from 1 species